rnacentral:rRNA from 1 species
UACGAAGGGGGCUAGCGUUGCUCGGAAUCACUGGGCGUAAAGGGUGCGUAGGCGGGUCUUUAAGUCAGGGGUGAAAUCCUGGAGCUCAACUCCAGAACUGCCUUUGAUACUGGAAGAGUCUUGAGUCGGGAGAGGUGAGUGGAACUGCGAGUGUAGAGGUGAAAUUCGUAGAUAUUCGCAAGAACACCAGUGGCGAAGGCGGCUCACUGGCCCGAUACUGACGCUGAGGCACGAAAGCGUGGGGAGCAAACAGG